rnacentral:rRNA from 1 species
CCUACGGGAGGCAGCAGUGAGGAAUAUUGGUCAUUGGACGAGAGUCUGAACCAGCCAAGUAGCGUGAAGGAUGACUGCCCUAUGGGUUGUAAACUUCUUUUAUAUGGGAAUAAAAUGUUCCACGUGUGGGCUUUUGUAUGUACCCUAUGAAUAAGGAUCGGCUAACUCCGUGCCAGCAGCCGCGGUAAUACGUAGGAUCCGAGCGUUAUCCGGAUUUAUUGGGUUUAAAGGGUGCGUAGGUGGAUUGUUAAGUCAGUUGUGAAAGUUUGCGGCUCAACCGUAAAAUUGCAGUUGAAACUGGCAGUCUUGAGUACAGUAGAGGUGGGCGGAAUUCGUGGUGUAGCGGUGAAAUGCUUAGAUAUCACGAAGAACUCCGAUUGCGAAGGCAGCUCACUGGACUGCAACUGACACUGAGGCUCGAAAGUGUGGGUAUCAAACAGGAUUAGAUACCCCUGUAGUC